AGGCGUUGAAGAGAGGAUUUAUCUUUUCUACUUCUUUUAAACAAACAGAUCAAGGAACUGGGGAGUGGAGAAUAGUGAAAGAAAUGUAAUCUGAUCCUGCCAGCAGUGAAAGGGCGAGGUGACUCUCAUGUCCCACAUGAGGGUUAUUCAUUUGAACCCUUUAUUGUGGAUUCAUAAUAAAGAAGAAAUGGAGUACCAACACAGAUGACCCACAAAGUUUGUCUAACUCCUUCCGUGAGAAUCUGGAAUGUAUAUCUGUAUCACUAACGC